rnacentral:rRNA from 1 species
CCCUUAGAUGUUCUGGGCCGCACGCGUGCUACACUGAGUGGAUCAGCGGGUCAGGUUGCGCGAAAGUGUUUCCUAAUCUUGAAAUCCGCUCGUGAUGGGGAUUGACGGUUGCAAUUUUCCGUCAUGAACGAGGAAUACCUUGUAAGCGCGGGUCAUCAUCCCGCGCUGAAUACGUCCCUGCCCUUUGUACACACCGCCCGUCGCUCCUACCGAUUGAGUGGUCCGGUGAGGCUUUGGGAUCUGAGCGGAAAGAGCGUUUCGCUGUUUCUGCUCGGAAAACUCAGUCGAACCUUAUCAUUUAGCGGAAGGAGAAGUCGUAACA